GGCGAACGGGUGAGUAACACGUGAGGAACCUGUCCCUACUUUCCGGAUAAUUGAUCGAAAGGUCUUGUAAUACGGGGGAGGGUCCUGGUGAGGCAUCUCAUUGGGAAGGAAGGCGCAAGCCGAGCAGGGAGGGCCUCGCGGCCUAUCAGCUUGUUGGUGGGGUAAAGGCCUACCAAGGCGACGACGGGUAGCUGGUCUGAGAGGAUGGUCAGCCACAUUGGAACUGAGACACUGUCCAGACUCCUACGGGAGGCUGCAGUCGAGAAUCUUGGUCAAUGCACGAAAGUGUGAACCAGCGACGCCGCGUGAAGGAUGAAGGACCUCUGGUUCGUAAACUUCUUUUAGGGGGGAAGAAUGGGCUUUAUGCCUUUGACGGUACCCCCUGAAUAAGCCACGGCUAACUACGUGCCAGCAGCCGCGG
rnacentral:rRNA from 1 species